UUGCUCUUAGUGUACACUCUAUUGAAUUAGAAAGCCUUAGUGGCAAGCAUUACGUGAGAUAAAAAAUGGUAGUCUGAGUACAAGUGUGAAUCCUUUCAAGGGACGAGAUACUCCUGUUGUUUCAUGUUGUUGUGGUAAAUGACAAUGUGUUGAUAAUCCGACAGCUAUGCAUUUAUUCUGCGUGGUAGAUACGUUGCCUCAUUUUCAGGUUCCAUCAUUUCCAAUCCGAGCAACUUUGCCUCCCUUGCAGCUAUAUUUUGCUUUUGCCACUCUUAAGUGCUUAACUUGAACCGAGUCAACAAAUGAGAGGGAAAACAAAUUGCUUCAUGGUAAAAGGAAUCUCAAGAUUUUCCGCUGCACAUAAAAAAAUUAUUUUCAUGUACUAGGAAAUUGAUUGUGCAUUGCAACGGGGCGUAAAUACUUUAGUAAAUUAAUAGGAUUGCAUCAAAGAUAGACUUCAACCAUAGACCGAAGUAAAAAAAAGCCUAUCCCUCGGUGGAGCUUGUGCGGGUGCAGUAGGACGACUACCAAAAAACGCGAGCCAUCAGCUCCGCAUCCACCGGAAUAGUGAAGGGCGAUCCCUUGGAGUGGAAUUCACAUACAGUUGCCCGUAACAUCUACCAUUUGAGACUAGCAGGUGGAACUCGGAUCCGUCAACGGUGUUACAGCGGCAAAUAGCAGGCGGAGGAGAAGCCAUGGAUGUCAUGUGCAGAUCCCUUAUAGCCUUGCGGAUCAUGCUAUUACAGCAAUUUGGUUGGUUCUCUUGUAGCCCUAGCUUGUUGCGCCGUCGUAUUCUCUCAAUGCAAUUUAGCUAAUGCUACUACAGUACGGUAAAGGGAAUAAAGAAAAAACACGCAGUGAAGGAAAAUACCUCCAUAUCAAAGCCGAUACUGAUCUUGUUGGUUAACAGGACGUCGAUAGGUAGAAUUUUCUCUAGCCAUGGCCACAGCGCAUGCAUUCAUCGAGGGGGUUCACU
rnacentral:lncRNA from 1 species